UAUAACACAAAACCUUACCAAAUUGUAGUUUGCUUCCUAAGAGACUGGAUUACUAAAUUGAGAGACUGUUUCCAUGGUCAAUAAAACUGAAAAAAGUAUAAUCUGAACAUAGUUCUGGAUUGUUAUUUAGAAGGUGUGCAAAAUUGUAAAUGACUCAUUCUCAUAAAAAAGCAGCUUUCUUUGGUUCUUAUAUGCCUCAGGCUCUCCACAGCCAAAAAAUGAAUUAGAUAAAUGAACAAGUUCUGGGUAAGAUUCAAGUACAUACUUCAUUGGAGUACUUCAAAAUAAAGCAACACUGUCCUGGGCUAUGAAGGGAUACAAAAGUUAUAUAUGUUCCAACCCUCAAAGGAAAUAUUGUAUCCUUGCAUCAAUAAGGGAACCAGGAAUGGAACAAUGGAAAAUAUUGGAAGUUUAUAGUAAGUAGAAUUGUAAGUAAAAUGAUAACAAACAGGUAAAAUCACAUAUAGGAAAUUUAGCAUCAAAAUUUGGCCUAUAGACCAGGGAUAAUCAAACUUAACUAUGUAUCAUAAUCACCUGGAAGGCUUGGUGAGUUGCUGAUUUAAUAAGUAGCUUGGGUUGAGGCCCAAGAAUUUGGAUGUCUAGCAUUCACAUGUGAUGUAGCUGCUACAAAGGGGAUUGCAAUUUGCAAAACAUACCUAGAGCACCAGAAAGCCAUUUAAAGAUCAGUCUAGUUAAUUUCAGAUAACUUCUGUAUCUUGUAGAGACGGCACAGUGUGAUGCCCAUAAUAUACAUAUACACACACACAGGCGCAGGUGCACACACACACGAGCACACACACACAUGUGCAGGUGCACACACACACACGAGCACACACACACAUGUGCAGGUGCACACACACACACGAGCACACACACACGAGCACACACACACAUGUGCAGGUGCACACACACACACGAGCACACACACACAUGUGCAGGUGCACACACACACGAGCACACACACACAUGUGCAGGUGCACACACACACACGAGCACACACACACCGCAGAAAAACAUCAGGAAUAUUUAGUUGGAUUGUGUUAGGAGUUUCUUUCUCCCGUUAGAGAUCCUCAGCCUCAGCUAUUGCUUUUAGAUGAACAUGCAGCCUCUCCCUGCUCAGAUGCAGAUUCCCUUCCUCAUCAUAGGGUUUUUUUUCUGUUAACCACAGUGUGUGAUUUCACAUGUUAAUAUAAAAACAAUUCAGAAAUACUGGGGAAAAUAUUAUUUCUGUCUGUAGUUGCUCCUCUGAUAUUUAUGAGACCCGCCUGGUUUCCUUACUUGUGGAGUUUCUAGAUGAUAGUACAACAUUUAAACAUAUUUUUUAAAAUAUUAUUACAAAUAUUAACUAAAAUUACUGAAAAACUAAUAUUCUUUUAAAAUUAUAAUUUUACAAUUAUGACAUAAGUACUCUACACUUAUACAAUACUUAGGAAAAAAAUCACCAGUUAGAUGAAGCUAUCAUUUUUUGUAGAUUCUCAUUUUCCCUUUCUUCUAUUCAUGUAUAUACCAUGUUUCAAAGAAUAAGAUCAGGACUUGCAUUUUGAUCUGUAACCUGUUUUUGUGAUGUAACAAUCCACUAUAAAUCACCUUCAUGUCAACAAAAAUGUAUCUAAAAUAUGAGAUCACACAACAUUUUAAAAGGUCCACCUUAGGAUAAAUUUGAAAGCAUAAAGCCACCUAUCAAUAAAGACAUAUGUACAACUGA